rnacentral:rRNA from 1 species
GGCCAGACUCCUACGGGAGGCAGCAGUGGGGAAUAUUGCACAAUGGGGGAAACCCUGAUGCAGCGACGCCGCGUGAGUGAAGAAGUAUUUCGGUAUGUAAAGCUCUAUCAGCAGGGAAGAAAAUGACGGUACCUGACUAAGAAGCCCCGGCUAACUACGUGCCAGCAGCCGCGGUAAUACGUAGGGGGCAAGCGUUAUCCGGAUUUACUGGGUGUAAAGGGGGCGCAGACGGCAGCGCAAGCCAGGAGUGAAAGCCCGGGGCCCAACCCCGGGACUGCUCUUGGAACUGCGCGGCUGGAGUGCAGGAGGGGCAGGCGGAAUUCCUGGUGUAGCGGUGAAAUGCGUAGAUAUCAGGAGGAACACCGGUGGCGAAGGCGGCCUGCUGGACUGCGACUGACGUUGAGGCCCGAAAGCGUGGGGAGCAAACAGGAUUAGAUACCCCAGUA